UAGUUUUUGUGUGUCUCCUAAUAACACAUUAAUGGACUCGGUGUUGUUUGAUGUCAUAAUAUUAUACCAAACCAUAAGAACCCAACCUUGCCUAUUUCAAGUAGUUGAUUCCAUCUAUCCAUGUAUGGCAAUCUUCGUUUAGAGCACGACGUAGCCUAUCCAAGCUUUCUUGAAAUUAGACUCUCGGUAAGCUUUUACAGCCUCCCAAAACAAAAUCUAUGUUCAUAAUAUGUGUUCAGAAACACAGCUUGAAUGUUCAUUUCAAUUGAAUUUGCUAUAUCUUAUAUGAUAUCCAAAGAAGGUUGUCUCCAAUAUAUUCUUUAAGUCUUGAUAAAAACCAUAUCCAUGACCCCCAACUUCAAUUUUCCCAACACCAAAUCCAAUAGGAAGGAUUUGGUUAUUAUCAUCCAUGCUUACUGCUAGGAACAUAAACCUAAGUAUUUCCCUUUAAGGUGUGCCCUAUCAAUGCUAAUAAUAUGACGCAAACAUGUUUGAAACGCUCAAACCUACAAAAUACAAACCUACAAAAUAAUUAUUACCAUCAUCAACCAACAGCAUUAACUUUUGUUGAUCAUUUGCUGAUUCAUCAACAUUAACUCAUUAAGAGACAUCAAUAACCUUACCUUUAUACAUAUAAUCACCCAAUCUAUAAAAUAAAGUUAUUGGUAGAAGAAACAUGGUUGGUUGUCAUAGUUAAUUAAUUACAAAUUUAAUUGCUUCCAACACACCCAUUUCCACCAGAACAAUUUUCCCCGACAAAUUGAUGAAUACCACAAACUCAAAAAUCUACAUAACUAUAUUUGAUCAAAAAAAAAAAUUGAUAGUUUGAUAUGUUGACAUCCUCUUCCAUUAGAAAGAUUCUAACCAAGUCACCACAUGUUGCACCAUGUCCAUAUCUACAAACCAAACAUUUUUCCAAAGGCUAACCCCUAACCAAACCUUGAGAGAAGUUUCACAUUUAAAAAACCAAAACGAUUAUUGCCUUCAAAUUCAUAGUCACAUAACCGGCAUAAGAGAGAUGAAAUAUCCAAGACUCGCCUAUCUAGAUAAGCUAAGCUACAACAAUGACAUUUUUUCCUUAGUAAAACGAUGCAUCCGACAAAAUCGUAGAGGAAUUCAAGUUCACAUCAACUAGCAAAGAUGGAAAGGUAUUUAUCUGUUGCUUUUGUCCACGUCAUUCGUUAUUUUUUUCUCUUUCAAAUUCCAAUUCAAAUUAGUUCAUGUUCUGCAAAAUGUAUGUGUAUUCGUUUGUACAUUAACUGAAUUUUAAACAAAAAAAUUGUUAUAUCAAAAAGAUUAUAUAACUGAAUGGUAAAGAAAUUAAUCAGUUAUGUGUAACUGUGUAUAAGUUAAAGAAAUAAGCCGGAAAAAAUGCAGAAUUCAUCAAGCCAUCGUUUUUAACAAUUGAAAUACAAUUCGUGAAGAUUGAAACGCGAAUUUGCCAACAAUAGCUCAAUCAAUGAGGGUUCCACAAUAACACAAGCAAAACUUUCGAUUCAAGUGUAUAAAUUUUCAGAAAUGACUCUUAUCUUUUGGUAUCUAAUUUUUUUUUUUCGAAUUUUCAAAAAUCUGGACCUAAACAAGUGAGGAUAUUUGAUUUGUUGGGUACAUAUGAGGCAGUUCCCUGAAUUAAACACGACGGAAAAACAAGGAGAAACGUGCAAACCCUUGAGGCUGCCCCCAUGAUAUCCAUAUAUUGAUAUAGGCCGGGUGAAAUAGAGAUCUCGCUUUCUUAUUCAUCGCGAGAUCCCAUUGGAUCGGCCAUUCAUAGCUCUAUUUGAAGCUGAUUUACAGUGAAAUAAUGGAGGAAACUACAUUCCCUGAUAUAUAUUUGAAGGAAAAGUUUGGGAAUUUAAGAUUGGAAAGCAUGUAAAACCUCGAUUUGAGCAAAAGCAAGUGAGAAGCUCGCUUCGACGGAGUAAACCAAGGGCUGAUUUGUUAUAUGCCGGCAACGGAACUCAGGCGACAUGGCCGAAAGGCGCUCGACUGGUUCUCUCAAAAGGCAAUGUGAAGUUGAAGAAGAAUGUGUUUGCUAUUUAUCCCGAUUGUAAUCUUUCAAUUUCGUAACCCUAAGGCCCAAUUUGAUUCAAUAAAAUUGGGUUGUUAUACUUAUAUAUGGGCCUCUUUUACACUUUAAAAGCUCUUCACUUCUUUUUGUAUUUUUG
rnacentral:lncRNA from 1 species